rnacentral:rRNA from 1 species
UAGGGAAUCUUCCACAAUGGACGCAAGUCUGAUGGAGCAACGCCGCGUGAGUGAAGAAGGUUUUCGGACCGUAAAGCUCUGUUGUUGGUGAAGAAGGAUAGAGGUAGUAACUGGCCUUUAUUUGACGGUAAUCAACCAGAAAGUCACGGCUAACUACGUGCCAGCAGCCGCGGUAAUACGUAGGUGGCAAGCGUUGUCCGGAUUUAUUGGGCGUAAAGCGAGCGCAGGCGGAAGAAUAAGUCUGAUGUGAAAGCCCUCGGCUUAACCGAGGAAUUGCAUCGGAAACUGUUUUCUUGAGUGCAGAAGAGGAGAGUAGAACUCCAUGUGUAGCGGUGGAAUGCGUAGAUAUAUGGAAGAAUACCAGUGGCGAAGGCGGCUCUCUGGUCUGCAACUGACGCUGAGGCUCGAAAGCAUGGGUAGCGAACAGGAUUAGAUACCCUGGUAGUCCAUGCCGUAAACGAUGAGUGCUAAGUGUUGGGAGCUCCGCUCUCAGUGCUGCAGCUAACGC